GACGAACGCUGGCGGCGUGCUUAACACAUGCAAGUCGAACGGAAAGGCCCUCACCUUGGUGGGGGUGCUCGAGUGGCGAACGGGUGAGUAACACGUGGGUGAUCUGCCCUGUACUUCGGGAUAAGCUUGGGAAACUGGGUCUAAUACCGGAUAGGACCAUGGUUUAGUGUCUCAUGGUGGAAAAAUUAUUGUUUUGGUGCAGGAUGAGCUCGCGGCCUAUCAGCUUGUUGGUGGGGUAAUGGCCUACCAAGGCGUCGACGGGUAGCCGGCCUGAGAGGGUGGACGGCCACAUUGGGACUGAGAUACGGCCCAGACUCCUACGGGAGGCAGCAGUGGGGAAUAUUGCACAAUGGGCGCAAGCCUGAUGCAGCGACGCCGCGUGGGGGAUGACGGCCUUCGGGUUGUAAACUCCUUUCGUUAGGGACGAAGCCACACUUUUUUUGGGUGUGGUGACGGUACCUUUGUUAAGAAGCACCGGCUAACUACGUGCCAGCAGCCGCGGUAAUACGUAGGGUGCGAGCGUUGUCCGGAAUUACUGGGCGUAAAGAGCUCGUAGGUGGUUUGUUGCGUCGUCUGUGAAAUUCCGGGGCUUAACUUCGGGGUGGCAGGCGAUACGGGCAUAACUAGAGUGCUGUAGGGGAGACUGGAAUUCCUGGUGUAGCGGUGGAAUGCGCAGAUAUCAGGAGGAACACCGAUGGCGAAGGCAGGUCUCUGGGCAGUAACUGACGCUGAGGAGCGAAAGCAUGGGGAGCGAACAGGAUUAGAUACCCUGGUAGUCCAUGCUGUAAACGGUGGGCGUUAGGUGUGGGGACCGGUUUGGUUUCUGUGCCGUAGCUAACGCAUUAAGCGCCCCGCCUGGGGAGUACGGCCGCAAGGCUAAAACUCAAAGGAAUUGACGGGGGCCCGCACAAGCGGCGGAGCAUGUGGAUUAAUUCGAUGCAACGCGAAGAACCUUACCUGGGUUUGACACGCACCAGACGGUUGUAGAGAUACGUACCUCCCUUUGUGGUUGGUGUGCAGGUGGUGCAUGGUUGUCGUCAGCUCGUGUCGUGAGAUGUUGGGUUAAGUCCCGCAACGAGCGCAACCCUUGUCUUAUGUUGCCAGCACGUUUGGGUGGGGACUCAUGAGAGACUGCCGGGGUUAACUCGGAGGAAGGUGGGGAUGACGUCAAAUCAUCAUGCCCUUUAUGCCCAGGGCUUCACACAUGCUACAAUGGUUAGUACAACGCGCGGCGAGCCUGUGAGGGUGAGCGAAUCGCUGAAAGCUAAUCUCAGUUCGGAUUGGGGUCUGCAACUCGACCCCAUGAAGUCGGAGUCGCUAGUAAUCGCAGAUCAGCAAUGCUGCGGUGAAUACGUUCCCGGGCCU
rnacentral:rRNA from 1 species